AGGAUUAGAUACCCGGGUAGUCCCAGCUGUAAACGAUGCAGACUAGGUGUUUGGACGGCCACGUGCCGUUCUAGUGCCGCAGGGAAGCUGUUAAGUCUGCCGCCUGGGGAGUACGAUCGCAAGAUUGAAACUUAAAGGAAUUGGCGGGGGAGCACCACAAGGGGUGAAGCUUGCGGUUUAAUUGGAGUCAACGCCGGAAAUCUCACCGGGAGCGACAGCAGUAUGAAAGCCAGAUUGAAGGUCUUGCUAGACGAGCUGAGAGGAGGUGCAUGGCCGUCGCCAGUUCGUGCCGUGAGGUGUCCUGUUAAGUCAGGCAACGAUCGAGACCCGCGUCCUCUGUUGCAACCAGCUUUGAGCUGGGCACACUGAGGAGACCGCCACUGAUAAAGUGGAGGAAGGAGCGGGCCACGGCAGGUCAGUAUGCCCCGAAUCUCCCGGGCCACACGCGAGCUGCAAUGGCAAGUACAAUGGGUUCCGACCUCGAAAGGGGGAGGCAAUCUCGAAAGCUUGCCGUAGUUGGAAUUGAGGGUUGAAACCCACCCUCAUGAACAUGGAAUCCCUAGUAAUCGCGUGUCAUUAGCGCGCGGUGAAUACGUCCCUGCUCCUUGCACACACCGCCCGUCGUUCCAUCCGAGUGACUCUUGGGUGAGGUACCGUCUAAUUGGCGGCAUCGAAUCUAAGUUUCACAAGGAGGGAAAAGUCGUAACAAG
rnacentral:rRNA from 1 species